rnacentral:rRNA from 1 species
UAGGGAAUCUUCGGCAAUGGACGAAAGUCUGACCGAGCAACGCCGCGUGAGUGAAGAAGGUUUUCGGAUCGUAAAACUCUGUUGUUAGAGAAGAACAAGGACGUUAGUAACUCAACGUCCCCUGACGGUAUCUAACCAGAAAGCCACGGCUAACUACGUGCCAGCAGCCGCGGUAAUACGUAGGUGGCAAGCGUUGUCCGGAUUUAUUGGGCGUAAAGCGAGCGCAGGCGGUUUCUUAAGUCUGAUGUGAAAGCCCCCGGCUCAACCGGGGAGGGUCAUUGGAAACUGGGAGACUUGAGUGCAGAAGAGGAGAGUGGAAUUCCAUGUGUAGCGGUGAAAUGCGUAGAUAUAUGGAGGAACACCAGUGGCGAAGGCGGCUCUCUGGUCUGUAACUGACGCUGAGGCUCGAAAGCGUGGGGAGCAAACAGG